CCAUAAAUUCGGGAAGGCAAUGCCUUGCAAAGCACGCACUGAGGAAUUUCGCCUUAAAAACGAAAGCACGGAAACCCUCGGUGCGGAAAUGUGCGAGUGCUGAGGGAAAUGCUGGGAUCUCUUCCAGGUGUGGCCUCAGACGGAAUUCCCGUGAUUCCAGCGGAACCAGGAAUUCUCCAUCGGGGGAAUCGCAAGUUCUGAAGGAAAUCUGGAAAGCAGGAGUCGAGUUCUGAAUUUCAUGGCUUUCCUAAGUCAUUAUUUUCACCUCGUUCUUCACGCUUUAUUCACCAAAAGUAGAUUUUCUUCAGAUUUUCGUCGUUAAAAUGAACACAGCCCUGUCAGAGCACCUGGGUGGAAAUGCUGUUCUUCAGCACCAAAGAGGGAGGAGAAGAAAGAAGUGAAAGGGAAGGAAAUUGAAAUUCAGGAUUUUUGGUGGAGAAAUCAGCAAAUCCCAGCUCUGCACCACACAAGUGAUGGGGUUCCUGAAAGGAGGAAGGAUCAGGAACAGGUCCUGAAGACCAUCAAGGUGUUAAAGGAACACACAGGGAAAGCAAAAUCACAGAGAAAAUAAAAUUCCUGCUCUUGCCUCGGAGUUCACAGUGCAACAGUUGCACAGAAUCCCAAAAUCCCUGAGGCUGGAAAAGCCCUCCCAGCCCAGGCAGUGCCAGCUGUGCCCCAGGCCCACCUUGUCCCCAGCCCAGAGCACUCAGUGCCACCUCCAGGUGACACCUGCAGGGAUGGGCACUCCAAAGCUCCCUGGGCAGCCCCUGCCAAGGCCUGAGCUCCCUUUCCAUGGGUAAAUUCCUGCUGCUGCCCAAGCUGAGCCUCCCCUGGCCCAACCUGAGGCCGUUCCCUCUCCUCCUGUCCCUGUUCCUGGAGCACAGCCCGACCCCCCCGGCUGUCCCCUCCUGUCAGGGACUUGUGCAGAGCCACAAGGUCCCCCCUGAGCCUCCUUUUCUCCAAUGUUUCUCUUCCAGAAAAUCCCUUUUUUAGUGUGCAGCAAAAGGAAUUGGCUGUUGGAGAAGCCUUGAUAGUUUGAUCUUAAUAAUAUCCCUAAAAACAGGAGCAGGAAAAGGGUGACUUCAGGCAGCUCCAGGAAAUUUGAUCCUUUAAGGUUGGAUCCUUUCAAUGCAGUGGCUCCCAUCCAGUCAGACUGACAGGGAUCGGGUCUAGGAGCUUCAGUUUCCUGGAAUUUCCUAACAGCAAGGUCCCCCCUGAGCCUCCUUUUCUCCAGCCUCAGCCCCUUCCCAGCUCCCUCAGGAAUUCUCCAGCCCCUUCCCAGCUCCCUCAGGAAUUCUCCAGCCCCUUCCCAGUUCCCUCAGGAAUUCUCCAGCCCCUUCCCAGCUCCCUCAGGAAUUCUCCAGCCCCUUCCCAGCUCCCUUCCCUGCCCUGGACACGCUCCAGCCCCUCCAGGGCUCUCCUGCAGGAGCCACAGCUGGGCACAGACUCAAGGUGAAAUCCGUGUUGUCCCAAAUCCAUGUUGUCCCAAAUCCAUGUUGUCCAAGAGCUGCAGAGCUGCCUGCAGUGUGUUCCCCUGUAACCAGGUGAGGAAGGCAAACAUGAAGAUCCAUGUUUAAGUGCUCCCAGGAUUUCCAGGGACAAUGAGCUUCCCAGACAAAGCAUCAUGUGGAAAAUAAUAACAAUAAAAAAGCCUUUAUGCAAAAGAAGGAAGAGAAGAAUGGAUCAAAAACUGGCAGGAUGAGAGGAAAGAGAAAGAAAAGAGAACUAGAAGGUCAUUUUUGAGAGAAGGGGAGAUCACAGGAGGAGUCUGCAGGGAGCUGUGCUGUGACUGCUGCUGCUUCGUGUGCUCCUCGAUGAUCUGGAGAGAGGGAGACACCACUGCUGAAGGAACUGAGGUGUUCAGGUAAAGGAAAGGUAGAGGACAAACAGAGAUGCAGUUAAAGGCUGGCUGGAGAACUGAAUAAAGACCCUGCAAGACUGAGGGACUGGAUAACAAACAGACAGAUGAGAUCUGAUGUGGUAAAGUGGUGAAAAUGGGGGGAAAUUCUGUGUACAUAAGGAUGGGCUGUAAGUUGUUUCCCAGUCACACAUGAGAUCUUUGGGUUGUGAUUAAUAUUUCCAUCAAAACAUCAGCACAAUGUUCCCUUUUACUGAGAGAAACAAAUCAAAUAUUUGGAAUUAUCAAGAGCACGAAAUAAAGAACAAACCAGAGAACAUUGUAGCACACCUGCCCUGGUAUAAAUCCAUAGUUCUCUGUAUAUGAGCACUGUGUGCAGUUCUUUUCCAGACGUCUUAAAAAGGCUUCCAGGACCUGAAGGAGUUGACAAAAAAGAUGGAGAGGGACUUUUCCCAAGGGCUGGAGGGACAGGAGCCAGGGAAUGGCUCCCAGUGCCAGAGGGCAGGGCUGGAUGGGCUCUUGGGAAUCAGGAAUUGUUCCCUGGCAGGGUGGGCAGGCCCUGGCACAGGGUGCCCAGAGCAGCUGUGGCUGCCCCUGGAUCCCUGGCAGUGCCCAAGGCCAGGCUGGACACUGGGGCUGGAGCAGCCUGGGACAGUGGGAGGUGUCCCUGCCAUGGCAGGGGUGGGAAUGGGUGGGAUUUAAGGUCCCUUCCCACCCAACCCAUCCUGGGAUUCUGGGAUUUCUGUGUUUCUGUCAUUCUGUGGUUCCGUGAUCUCAACAUGCCAAUUCUGAAAUUCAGAAUUUUGGAGAAAACCCCUCUGAUCCCAGCCUUCCCUCACACCCUCAGCCAUGGCCUGCCAGGACAGCUGGAAGAUGCUGCAGAGAGCCCUGGGUUUGGAGUCUGUGACACUUUGGAAAAAGAACAGCAAAUGCUUGGAAAAGUUUCCCUCUUCAGAAGUAACUUUUAAGGAUUUUUUUCCCCCAUGGAAGAGAUCCGUAUUGCCUGUCAAAAUCUUGUGUUGUCGUCUUGUUGGCUAAGAAGGUGAUGCUCAGAAUCUGGAAUCUGGGUAAAAAUUAAUACUACAGAGUUGGCCACAGUAUUUAUUAUAAUUUAUUACACAUCAAUUUCACUGCCUUGAAAAGCAACAUUAAAAAGACAACAAAAUGUUCUUUCUUGUGACAAUCUAAGCAAGAAAUAUUUUUUUGCUGCUGUUUUCAGCCUUUGAAACUUGAAGUCACUUAUAAAUUUCCCUGACCAAAAUAUUACCCUUUCAAAAAAAAACCCCAAAUUCUCCUUGUUCCUUCACUUAAAACAGAAGAAAAACAAAAAAAAGACAGGGGAGGUUUAAAGAAAAAAAAAAUCACCCUGAAGCAACACCCAGGACAGAAAACUUCUCCCAAGCAGUUAAAGCUUGGCAAACCUGCAAACAAUGGAAAAUAAACAAGGAUCAGCUGAAUGUUUGUCUCAGCCUGAAUGUUCUGGACACACACAAAACCUCCCAAACGAUCCCCAAAAUAAGGUCAGAAAAUGUUCUUUUCCUGAUGUUUCAAGUUAGAAAACGGCCUGUGUGCUCUGUCUG